UGGGGAAUCUUGGACAAUGGGGGCAACCCUGAUCCAGCGACGCCGCGUGGGUGAUGAAGGCCUUCGGGUUGUAAAGCCCUUUCACCGGGGACGAUGAUGACGGUACCCGGAGAAGAAGCACCGGCUAACUCCGUGCCAGCAGCCGCGGUAAGACGGAGGGUGCUAGCGUUGUUCGGAAUCACUGGGCGUAAAGGGCGCGUAGGCGGCGUCGCAAGUCGGCUGUGAAAGCCCGGGGCUCAACCUCGGAGGUGCAGCCGAGACUGCGGUGCUCGAGGUCGGAAGAGGAGGGUGGAAUACCCAGUGUAGAGGUGAAAUUCGUAGAUAUUGGGUGGAACACCGGUGGCGAAAGCGGCUCUCUGGUCCGAAUCUGACGCUGAGGCGCGAAAGCGUGGGGAGCAA
rnacentral:rRNA from 1 species